GAAGUAUGGCAUCAGGUAAUUGUUUAUUAAAUACUCAUAAAAGAUUAUUUGAUUGGAAGUUAAAAAAUUCUUUUAAAAAAUGCCAAUAGGUAACUCUGUGCAACCUGAUAGACGUUCAGCUCAUGAGGAAGCCUAACAUCCAUGGGUGGAUAUGUAGGCCAGUACCCUGUCGUUAAGACAUGGACACUCAUCUCAAUCCCUGAUGGAAGUUUUGUCCUGGCUUGCGAUGAUUGCUUGAAGGAUUCAUUUAUCUCCUUUGAUAGUUCAAUAUCCU